ensembl:ncRNA asRNA:CR45371 antisense RNA:CR45371
AGGCUAACAAAUUUGGCAAUUGCAUUUUAGCCGUUUAGAGCAAGUUUCCUUAAAGUGCUGCUGCCCGGUUGUCGGUCGCGUUUCCUCAUCGCUUUAUUAAGAACUUUACUUAAUUCCGGGCCGCGAAAUAAUAAUACCAUAAAUCUGGUAAAAGCUUUAGGCAGCAAUUGCCACUCGACUUCCUAACGCUUAUCGGCCUAAACGCUUUGGCCAGUUGCCCAGUUAGUUGAUCGCUGUAUCAAACAGUAUUAUCAGACUUUUUUCGGGUCGCAUGAAGUCAUGGAAGUCAUGGAGCACACGACUCAUACCGAAUACGGUAUACCUCGUCAUCACUCUUAUCGCCAGCGACUAAUUGAUUUGAUUGCGAUACGGUUGCAACUUGAAUGAAACGCCUCUACUCAAUGAGCGAGCACUUUCCCUAGCUGGUAGAAUUUGGAAAAAAAAGGGACAAUGCCUUCCUUAUCGAUGCCAAUUAAACAAUUAUGCGAAAAUAGCUCAGGUGUGCUCAUGACCACCAGACAAUAGACGUUUCGAGUGGUAAGCAAGGUAUAAAUAGACACAUCAUGUGCCCGCGCUAAAUCGGCAAGCGCUCCCAAAAAACAAUGAACUCAGACACCAAAGUCGAAAUCGAAGUUGUGGCGGCCAUAUAUCUUGUAUUUCUAUAUUUCAUAUCGAUCGAGCCCCCACGCCGUGUCUGCUGAUUUUCUACCAUAUCGGAUGGCGGCGGGUCAUAAAUGCCAUUAGCAUGAGUCCAGCCAGCAGUGUCCAGAAUUGGACAUUGUUUCUACUGGAUGAUCCGAUGGCCAUGGGCUGGUUGCAUCCAUCGUCCUGGCACAGCUGGCAUCCGGCCACCGUCCAGUUCUCGAAGAGACCAUCGCAUCCACCCGUCUGAUUGCUCCUCCUGGCGGUGGUGCAGCCCCUCUUGGUGAUCGUCGAUUCGUUAACUGUGGAGCAGUGCAUUUCAGUUUGCACUGUGUGCUAUUUUCGCAUGACUCAGUCGUAGAUAACUUAUCGCCAUGGGUGGGGGAGCAUCACACCAGGCGGCGUUUUUAUGAUUUUUAUGAUGCACACCCAUGGGAAUGGGCGGCAGUUGCUUACGUUGGAGCCUCACUGUGUAACAGAAGGCAAUUGGCACAUCGAGAUCGACCUGUCGUGCAUUCGAUCUCCGCCUGCGUCGCUCCUCAUCCUCCUCAUCUUCGUCCUCUUCCUCCUCUUCGCUUACAACUUCUUCCGCUGCUGAUCCAUCUGCUCCUCCAGCUGCUCCUCCGGUUGCUCCUCCAGCUGCUCCUCCGCCUACAGCAGCUGUUCCGGAUCCUGCUGGCAUGAUGCCUAUGGUCGCCGAUUCUUCGCUUUCAGAGUCCUCUUCCUCUUCGCUGGCAUCGGAGGAGGAGAAGGAGCCAGGAGCACUAUUUGUAUUAUUCGUUUCAGCUGGUGAUGGAGAAGGAGCAGGAUUUGGUUUCGUGCUGGAGUUGCCGCCCAUCAGUGGACUCUCACACACUUCCAUUUCACUUAGCUGCGUAUUUUCAUCGCAGUCUUCACAUUUGUAGCAACGCAAAGCUGGGCAAAGAAGAGAUUUUAAAUAAAUAUUAAGUAAAAAUAAAAAUAUGCCACCUUGCUCAU